CGGGACGGGUGAGUAAUGUCUGGGAAACUGCCUGAUGGAGGGGGAUAACUACUGGAAACGGUAGCUAAUACCGCAUAACGUCGCAAGACCGAAAGAGGGGGACCUUCGGGCCUCUUGCCAUCGGAUGUGCCCAGAUGGGAUUAGCUAGUAGGUGGGGUAACGGCUCACCUAGGCGACGAUCCCUAGCUGGUCUGAGAGGAUGACCAGCCACACUGGAACUGAGACACGGUCCAG
rnacentral:rRNA from 1 species